rnacentral:rRNA from 1 species
ACGGAAGGCAGCAGUGGGGAAUAUUGGGCAAUGGGGGAAACCCUGACCCAGCAACGCCGCGUGAAGGAAGAAGGCCUUCGGGUUGUAAACUUCUUUUACCAGGGACGAUAAUGACGGUACCUGGAGAAAAAGCAACGGCUAACUACGUGCCAGCAGCCGCGGUAAUACGUAGGUUGCAAGCGUUGUCCGGAUUUACUGGGUGUAAAGGGCGUGUAGGCGGAGCUGCAAGUCAGAUGUGAAAUCCCGGGGCCCAACCCCGGAACUGCAUUUGAAACUGUAGCCCUUGAGUAUCGGAGAGGCAAGCGGAAUUCCUAGUGUAGCGGUGAAAUGCGUAGAUAUUAGGAGGAACACCAGUGGCGAAGGCGGCUUGCUGGACGACAACUGACGCUGAGGCGCGAAAGCGUGGGGAGCAAACAGGAUUAGAUACCCUGGUA